rnacentral:rRNA from 1 species
UAUCCUUGGUUGCUAACAGGUUAAGCUGAGAACUCCAGGGAGACUGCCGGUGACAAACCGGAGGAAGGUGGGGACGACGUCAAGUCAUCAUGGCCCUUAUGGGAUGGGCUACACACGUGUUACAAUGGCCAGUACAGAGGGUUGCAAACUUGCGAGAGUAAGCUAAUCCCAGAAAGCUGGUCGUAGUCCGGAUUGGAGUCUGCAACUCGACUCCAUGAAGUUGGAAUCGCUAGUAAUCGUGGAUCAGAAUGCCACGGUGAAUACGUUC